rnacentral:misc_RNA from 1 species
AUUUUGCGCAAGGGAUUGUAGUAGAAAGCCCGCAGUGAGGCGCGAACGAGGACUUGUAUCGUAAAGCCCGACCCUUG